rnacentral:rRNA from 1 species
UACGGGGGGAGCAAGCGUUGUUCGGAUUUACUGGGCGUAAAGGGCGCGUAGGCGGCGCAACAAGUCACUUGUGAAAUCUUCAGGCUUAACCUGAAGCGGCCAAGUGAUACUGUCGUGCUAGAGUGCGGAAGGGGCAACUGGAAUUCUUGGUGUAGCGGUGAAAUGCGUAGAUAUCAAGAGGAACACCUGCGGCGAAGGCGGGUUGCUGGGCCGACACUGACGCUGGAGGCGACGGAAAGCUAGGGUAGCAAACGGG